UUUCCGUAGGUGAACCUGCGGAAGGAUCAUUAUCGAGUUAGGGUCUCUGGCCCGACCUCCAACCCUGUGUCUACUAUACCAUGUUGCUUUGGCGGGCCCGCGUUCGUCGCCGCCGAGGGGUUGACCCCCCUGGGCCAGUGCCCGCCGAUAGCCCCAAACCCUGAAUAUCAGUGUCGUCUGAGUACUAUAUAAUAGUUAAAACUUUCAACAACGGAUCUCUUGGUUCUG
rnacentral:misc_RNA from 1 species